rnacentral:lncRNA from 1 species
GGACCUCAACCCUGGCCAGAUACGCUGCAGCAAGCGAGAGGUGGUGCUGACAAGGGGAGCAGAGCGGCUGGCCACCCGGGAAGAUGGAAGAAAGCUUUAUGACUACUUCAGCUCCUUUGAGGGAAUUGGAGGCUUCCAAGACCACUUUGACUGGUGGGCCAGAAAUCAGUUCUCUUCCCGGGGUGGGAAGCCCCUAUGGAUUGACCCCCAUGAUCCCAGCAUUCACCACAUCUUCAUCGAUGACAACAUCCGGCUGGACGAUGAGGAUACCAUUGUUCAUCCCCAGGUGUUUUCAGAGCAGGGCAGCAGCAGCCCCAGGCGUGCUCCCACCUCGGAGCUGUACAACGUUUGCUUGGUGCAGAAUGACCUGCUGGAGGCCAUUGCCGACGAGGACUAUUUCCUGCGCUGUGUGAGGAGGUGUGAGGAGAACUACGACCGCUACCUGGCCUGCAUGGAGAAGGACACCCCGAGCCAGCGGUGGGAUGGAUAGUGAUGCCACCCCGAGGGGCUCUGGACUGGGACAGCCCCUGUUUCCUGUUGCAUGCAGGCAAAGUUCCGGGCUGGGCUCCUGCUUCAAGCUAUCCCCUCUCCAAUGUGUGACAUGCCUUUUCAGUCCUACCAGGAGCCUCCGUGCCUGCGCACAAGCAUCCUGGGAGCUUGUGUGACAGGAUCCCUGGAGAAAACGGCCUUCCUUUCUUUGGCAGCGCUAUGGGGAGCUGCCUGCUUCGCUGGAGCCCCUCUGCAGGCAGCACUGCCCGUUUUGCCUGCUCCUGUGUGAGGGCUGGGACUCAUGGUGCCCCUCUGCUCACCAGGCAGGGCCCUCCUGCUGCGGCAGUAAUAUAAGCAGCCACAGAGUGUUCACGCCUCCCUUCCCGCUCCUGCACCGGUGGCUGGUGCGGAGCAGGUGCCAGGGUGAGCGCAGUGUUACCGGCAGCACGCCCAAGUGUCAUUUGCACCAUGGUGUUCUCCUUGGCAGAGCUAGUGGUGCCGUGUCACUUCUGCCUGUUUUUAAAGCA